UACAGAGGGUGCAAGCGUUGUUCGGAAUUAUUGGGCGUAAAGGGCGCGUAGGCGGUGCGGUAAGUCUGUAGUGAAAUCUCUGGGCUCAACUCAGAGUCUGCUGCAGAAACUGCCGUGCUUGAGUGUGGGAGAGGUGAGUGGAAUUCCCGGUGUAGCGGUGAAAUGCAUAGAUAUCGGGAGGAACACCUGUGGCGAAAGCGGCUCACUGGACCACAACUGACGCUGAGGCGCGAAAGCUAGGGGAGCAAACAGG
rnacentral:rRNA from 1 species